rnacentral:rRNA from 1 species
AUGGCGAAGAAGGCCGCAAAGCGAGCUGUUGGUGAAGCAAGGGGUCGGGCAUAUGAGGACCUCUACCAACGGUUAGGCACAAAGGAAGGUGAAAGGGACAUCUAUAAGAUGGCUAAGAUCCGAGAGAGGAAGACGAGGGAUAUUGGCCAAGUCAAAUGCAUCAAGGACGGAGCAGGCCAACUCUUGGUGAAGGACGAAGAGAUUAAGCAUAGAUGGCGGGAGUACUUCGACAAGCUGUUCAAUGGGGAGAAUGAGAGUUCUACCAUUGAACUGAAUGACUCCUUUGAUGAGACCAGCAUGCGUUUUGUGCGGCGCAUCCAGGAGUCUGAGGUGAAGGAGGCUUUAAAAAGGAUGAAAGGAGGCAAGGCGAUGGGCCCUGAUUGUAUCCCCAUUGAGGUGUGGAAAGGUCUCGGGGACAUAGCGAUAGUAUGGCUAACCAAGCUUUUCAACCUCAUUUUUCGGGCAAACAAGAUGCCAAAAGAAUGGAGACGGAGUAUAUUAGUACCAAUCUUCAAGAACAAGGGGGAUGUUCAGAGUUGUACUAAUUACCGUGGAAUUAAGCUGAUGAGCCAUACAAUGAAGCUAUGGGAGAGAGUCAUUGAGCACCGCUUAAGGAGAAUGACAAGCGUGACCAAAAAUCAAUUUGGUUUCAUGCCUGGGAGGUCGACCAUGGAAGCCAUUUUCUUGGUACGACAACUUAUGGAGAGAUAUAGGGAGCAUAAGAAGGACUUGCAUAUGGUGUUCAUUGACUUGGAGAAGGCCUAUGAUAAGAUACCGCAGAAUGUCAUGUGGUGGGCCUUGGAGAAACACAAAGUCCCAGCAAAGUACAUUACCCUCAUCAAGGACAUGUACAAUAAUGUUGUGACAAGUGUUCGAACAAGUGAUGUCCACACCGAUGACUUCCCGAUUAAGAUAGGACUGCAUCAGGGGUCAGCUUUGAGCCCUUAUCUUUUUGCAUUGGUGAUGGAUGAGGUCACAAGGGGUAUACAAGGAGAUAUCCCAUGGUGUAUGCUCUUUGCGGACGAUGUGGUGCUAGUUGACGAUAGUCGGACGGGGGUAAAUAGGAAGUUAGAGUUAUGGAGACAAACCUUGGAAUCGAAAUGGUUUAGGCUUAGUAGAACUAAAACCGAGUACAUGAUGUGCGGUUUCAGUACUACUAGCUGUGAGGAGGAGGAGGUUAGCCUUGAUGGCCAGGUGGUACCUCGGAAGGACACCUUUCGGUAUUUGGGGUCAAUGUUGCAGGAGGAUGGGGGUAUUGAUGAAGAUGUGAACCAUCGAAUCAAAGCCGGAUGGAUGAAGUGGCGCCAAGCUUCUGGCAUUCUCUGUGACAAGAGAGUGCCACAAAAGCUAAAAGGCAAGUUCUACAGGACGGCGGUUCGACCCGCAAUGUUGUAUGGCGCGGAGUGUUGGUCGACUAAAAGGCGACAUGUUCAACAGUUAGGUGUGGUGGAGAUGCGUAUGUUGAGAUGGAUGUGUGGCCACACGAGGAAGGAUCGAGUCCGGAAUGAUGAUAUACGAGAUAGAGUUGGGGUAGCACCAAUUGAGGAGAAGCUUGUCCAACAUCGUUUGAGAUGGUUUGGGCAUAUUCAGCGCAGGCCUCCAGAAGCUCCAGUGCAUAGCGGAUGGCUAAAGCGUGCGGAGAAUGUCAAGAGAGGGCGGGGUCGACCGAUUUUGACAUGGGAGGAGUCCGUUAAGAGAGACCUGAAGGAUUGGAGUAUCGACAAAGAGCUAGCUAUGGACAGGGGUGCGUGGAAGCUUGCUAUCCAUGUGCCAGAGCCAUGA